CCUACGGGAGGCAGCAGUAAGGAAUAUUGGACAAUGCUCGCAAGAGUGAUCCAGCCAUGCCGCGUGCAGGAAGAAUGCCCUAUGGGUAGUAAACUGCUUUUGAACUAGAGAAAACCCCAGUACGUGUACUGGGCUGAUAGUAUAGUUAGAAUAAGCAUCGGCUAACUUCGUGCCAGCAGCCGCGGUAAGACGAAGGAUGCAAGCGUUAUCCGGAUUCAUUGGGUUUAAAGGGAGCGUAGGUGGACUGAUAAGUCAGUGGUGAAAUCUCCGAGCUUAACUCGGAAAUUGCCAUUGAUACUGUUGGUCUUGAGUACAGUUGCUGUGGGCGGAAUAUGACAUGUAGUGGUGAAAUACAUAGAGAUGUCAUAGAACACCGAUUGCGAAGGCAGCUCACAAAGCUGUAACUGACACUGAGGCUCGAAAGUGCGGGGAUCAAACAGGAUUAGAUACCCUGGUAGUCCGCACCGUAAACGAUGAUUACUCGCUGCUAGGGGGCAACCUUUAGUGGCUUAGCGAAAGCGAUAAGUAAUCCACCUGGGGAGUACGCCGGCAACGGUGAAACGUUAAAUGAAUUGACCGGNGUUGAGACGNGCGAGGACGACACGAGGGGAGGAGG
rnacentral:rRNA from 1 species